GACAACUACAGCUCAGUCGCAGGCAAAACAUCGAACGUGUAGGUUGUAGCGCGGCAGCCUUCGUCGCUACGCGUACAAUACAAAAACAUUCGUUUUUUUGACGCGAGUUGCGACCAAUAAACUACAACAAUACAUGAAAAGCUAACACAUAAAAGGGAAAGUGAAGUUCGCUACAAAUAGUGAGGAUAAACAAAAACCUACACUUAACUACAACAGCAAGGCCGGCACACCUGUCAGCUAUAAGAUCUCGCUACACAGUUGAGGAACUUAAAGAAAAAAA